rnacentral:lncRNA from 1 species
UUGGAAACACUCUGUUUGUAAAUUCUGCACGUGGAUAUUUUGACCACUUAGAGGCCUUCGUUGGAAACGGGUUUUUUUCAUGUAAGGCUAGACAGAAGAAUUCCCAGUAACUUCCUUGUGUUGUGUACAUUCAACUCACAGAGUUGAACGUUCCCUUAGACAGAGCAGAUUUGAAACACUCUUUUUGUGCAAUUGGCAAGUGGAGAUUUCAAGCGCUUUAAGGUCAAUGGCAGAAAAGGAAAUAUCUUCGUUUCAAAACUAGACAGAAUCAUUCCCACAAACUGCGUUGUGAUGUGUUCGUUCAACUCACAGAGUUUAACCUUUCUUUUCAUAGAGCAGUUAGGAAACACUCUGUUUGUAAAUUCUGUAAGUGGAUAUUCUGACAUCUUGUGGCCUUCGUUGGAAACGGGAUUUCUUCAUAUUCUGCUAGACAGAAGAAUUCUCAGUAACUUCCUUGUGUUGUGUGUAUUCAACUCACAGAGUUGAACGAUCCUUUACACAAAGCAGACUUGAAACACUCUUUUUGUGGAAUUUGCAAUUGGAGAUUUCAGCCGCUUUGAAGUCAAUAGUAGAAAAGGAAAUAUCUUCGUAUAAAAACUAGACAGAAUGAUUCUCAGAAACUCCUUUGUGAUGUGUGCGUUCAACUCACAGAGUUUAGCCUUUCUUUUCAUAGAGCAGGUAGGAAACACUCUGUUUGUAAAGUCUGCACGUGGAUAUUUUGACCUCUUUGAGGCCUUCAAUGGAAACGGGAUUUUUUCAUGUAAGGCUAGACAGAAGAAUUCUCAGUAACUUCCUUGUGUUGUGUGUAUUCAACUGACAGAGUUGAACUUUCAUUUAGACAGAG